rnacentral:rRNA from 1 species
AGCAGCCGCGGUAACACCAGCUCCAUUAGCGUAUAUUAAAGUUGUUGCAGUUAAAAAGCUCGUAGUUGGAUGUCUGACAUGAUGAGCCUGGCCCGGCAGUCGCUUCGCGACUGGUUGUGUGCCGGUUUUUUAUAGGCCGGCUGCCAUGGUUCUCCCUUCGUGGUGAGAUCGGGCGGUCGGUUGCUCAUCGGUCAUCCUUAAUCAGAACCUCUCUACCAUUAAUUUAGCCCGGGGAGACGAUGGUUAUCAUUUACUUUGAGAAAAUUAGAGUGUUUAAGGCAGACUUAUGUCGUGAAUACAUUAGCAUGGAAUAAUAAGAUAAGUCUUCGGCAGCAAUUUGGCCCGUUCGCGGCGUCAGGUUUGUCGUCUAUUUUGUUGGUUUCUAGAGCUGAAGAAAUGAUUGAUAGGGCUAGUUGGGGGCGCUCGUAUUGCUUGGCCAGAGGUGAAAUUCUCGGAUUCAAGUAAGACGAACUAAUGCGAAAAGCAUCCGUCAGGAUAUCCUCUUUAAUCAAGAACGAAAGUUGGGGGAUCGAAGACGAUCAGAUACCGUCGUAGUCUCAACCAUAAACGAUAGCGACUAGGGAUUUGGACGAUGUUCGCACAUUUAAGACUCGUUCAGCACCUUAUUCGAGAAAUCAUAAGUUUUCGGCUUCUGGGGGGAGUACGAUCGCAAGGUUGAAAC